AUUGAACGCUGGCGGCAUGCCUUACACAUGCAAGUCGAACGGCAGCACGGGAGCAAUCCUGGUGGCGAGUGGCGAACGGGUGAGUAAAGUAUCGGAACGUGCCCAGUCGUGGGGGAUAACGUAGCGAAAGUUACGCUAAUACCGCAUACGAUCUAUGGAUGAAAGCGGGGGAUAGCAGGACCUCGCGCGAUUGGAGCGGCGGAUAUCAGAUUAGGUAGUUGGUUGGGUAAAGGGUCACCAAGUCGACGAUCUGGAGCGGGUAUGAAAGGACGACCUGCCAGACGGGGACUGAGAAACGGUCCAGACUCCGACGGGGGGCAGCAGUGGGGAAUUUUGGACAAUGGGCGAAAGCCUGAUCCAGCCAUGCCGCGUGCAGGAUGAAGGCCUUCGGGUUGUAAACUGCUUUUGUACGGAACGAAAAGGUUUGGCCUAAUAAGCUGAGCUCAUGACGGUACCGUAAGAAUAAGCACCGGCUAACUACGUGCCAGCCGCCGCCGUAA
rnacentral:rRNA from 1 species